rnacentral:rRNA from 1 species
AUACGGAGGGUGCAAGCGUUACUCGGAAUCACUGGGCGUAAAGCGCGCGCAGGCGGCUAUUUAAGUUGGAUGUGAAAGCCUACGGCUCAACCGUAGAACUGCAUCCAAAACUAUUUAGCUAGAGUGUGGGAGAGGAAGAUGGAAUUAGUUGUGUAGGGGUAAAAUCCGUAGAGAUAACUAGGAAUACCAAAAGCGAAGGCAAUUUUCUGGAACACUACUGACGCUCAGGCGCGAAAGCGUGGGGAGCAAACGGGAUUAGAAACCCUAGUAGUCC